rnacentral:lncRNA from 1 species
CUACUGGUUGAUCUGCCAGUGUCAUUGCUUGUUCAAGAUUAGCCAUGCAUGUGUAAGUAUGAACAAAUUCAGAUGUGAAACUGCGAAUGGUAUUAUCAGUUAUAGUUUGUUUGUGGUAUCUUGCUACUCGGAUACGUGUAAUUCUAGGCUAAUACGUGCAACAAACCCGACUUCUGGAAGGGAUGCAUUUAUUAGAUAAAAGGUCGCGGGGCUUUGCCCGUUGCUGCGAUGAUUCUGUAAUCGACGGAUCGCACGGCCUUGUGCGGCGAGCAUAUUAAUUUCUGCCCUAUCACUUUCGAUGGUGGAUAGUGGCUCUAUGGUGGUGACGGGUGAGGAGAAUUAGGUUGAUUCCGGAGAGGGAGCUGAGAAACGGUACCAUCCAAGGAGGCAGAGGCGCGCAAUUACCCAAUCUGCACGGGGAGUAGUGAAUAAAUAACAAUACGGGCUCAUACGGUCUGGUAAUUGGAAUGAGUACAAUCUAAUCUUAACGAGGUCAUUGGAGGGCAAGUCUUGGUGCCAGCCGCGGUAUUCCAGCUCCAAUAGCGUAUAUUUAGUUGUUGCGUUAAAGUCGUAGUUGGACUUUGGGUUGGGUCGGCGGUCGCAUCAGGUGUGCACCGGUUUACUCGUCCCUUUGUCGGCGAUGCGUCUACCUUAACUGGGGGGGUCGUGCUCCGGCGUUGUUAUUUGAAGAAUUAGAGUGCUCAGCAGCUACGCUUGUAUAUUUAGCAUGGGAAAUCAUGGAUUUCCGGUCUAUUCGUUGGCUUCGGGAUCGGAGUAAUGAUUACAGGGACAGUCGGGGGCUUCGUAUUUCAUGUCAGAGGUGAAUUCUUGGAUUAUGAAGACGAACAAUGCGAAAGAUUUGCCAAGGAUGUUUUCAUUAUCAAGAAGAAGUUGGGGCUGAAGCGAUCAGAUACCGUCCUAGUCUCACCAUACGAUGCGACAGGGAUCAGCGGAUGUUGUUUUAGGAUCGCUGGCCUUAUGAGAAUCAAGUUUUUGGGUUCGGGGGGAGUAUGGUCGCAAGGCUGAACUUAAGGAUUGCGGAGGGACAGGAGUGGAGCUGCGGCUUAUUUGACUCAACGGGGAAUUACAGGUCAGCAUGUAGGAUUGAAGACUGGAGUCUUUCUUGAUU